GGAUAAGAUGUGACCCAUAUUUCUUUUCACUCCUCAGUAAACUGUUAUUUUGUUCUUUUCUCAGGAAAACCCUCUAUGAUUAGUGUUUGCUGAUCUGUCUGUGGAUCUGCCAGCAGCCUUGUGACUUGCAUUCUCUUUAAGAUUUCUUUAACAAGCUUAAGCCAUUGCAGACUGCGGGGAAAAUCACGCAAAGUUGGCAUCUUCUUUCUG
rnacentral:lncRNA from 1 species